AGAGUUUGAUCCUGGCUCAGGACGAACGCUGGCGGCGUGCUUAACACAUGCAAGUCUACGAGAACGAGGUAGCAAUAUCUUUAGUAAAGUGGCGCACGGGUGAGUAACACGUAAGUAAUCUACCUUUGGGUCUGGAAUAACUUCGAGAAAUCGAGGCUAAUACCGGAUAAUGCAGCGGCACCGCAUGGUGAUGUUGUUAAAGUUUGCGUAAUGCCUAAAGAUGAGCUUGCGUCUGAUUAGCUAGUUGGCAGAGUGACGGCCUACCAAGGCAACGAUCAGUAGCUGGUCUGAGAGGAUGAUCAGCCACACUGGAACUGAGACACGGUCCAGACUCCUACGGGAGGCAGCAGUGAGGAAUAUUGGGCAAUGCCCGCAAGG
rnacentral:rRNA from 1 species